rnacentral:rRNA from 1 species
GAUGAACGCUGGCGGCGUGCCUAAUACAUGCAAGUCGAGCGAAUGGAUUAAGAGCUUGCUCUUAUGAAGUUAGCGGCGGACGGGUGAGUAACACGUGGGUAACCUGCCCAUAAGACUGGGAUAACUCCGGGAAACCGGGGCGAAUACCGGAUAACAUUUUGAACCGCAUGGUUCGAAAUUGAAAGGCGGCUUCGGCUGUCACUUAUGGAUGGACCCGCGUCGCAUUAGCUAGUUGGUGAGGUAACGGCUCACCAAGGCAACGAUGCGUAGCCGACCUGAGAGGGUGAUCGGCAACACUGGGACUGAGACACGGCCCAGACUCCUACGGGAGGCAGCAGUAGGGAAUCUUCCGCAAUGGACGAAAGUCUGACGGAGCAACGCCGCGUGAGUGAUGAAGGCUUUCGGGUCGUAAAACUCUGUUGUUAGGGAAGAACAAGUGCUAGUUGACUAAGCUGGCACCUUGACGGUACCUAACCAGAAAGCCACGGCUAACUACGUGCCAGCAGCCGCAGUAA